rnacentral:rRNA from 1 species
AACGAACGCUGGCGGCGCGCCUAAUACAUGCAAGUCGAGCGAGAAGACGUAGCAAUACGUUUGUAAAGCGGCGAACGGGUGAGGAAUACAUGGGUAACCUACCCUCGAGUGGGGAAUAACUAGCCGAAAGGUUAGCUAAUACCGCGUACGCUCCUUGGACUUCGGUUCAGGGAGGAAAGCGAGUACCGUGGGUAUCGCGCUCUUGGAUGGGCUCAU